UCCCCCAUGGUGUAAUGGCAACACUCCGCCCUUUGGAGGCGGCUUUCUAGGUUCGAGUCCUGGUGGGGGAGC
rnacentral:tRNA from 1 species